GGGUUAAAAAUGAAAACCUAAUGUCAAGAUGAGAGGUGGUGACAUAAAAAUGAUGCUCAAUAGGAUUACACUGAGGCCC